GCAGCCGCGGUAAUUCCAGCUCCAAUAGCGUAUAUUAAAGUUGUUGCAGUUAAAAAGCUCGUAGUUGAACUUCGGGGUCUACCCAUUGGUCAGGCUUAAUUGUCUGCACUGGUGAGAUGGAUCUCUACCUUCUGAGGAACUUUCAUGCCAUUUAUUUGGUGUGGUUGGAAAUCAGGACUGUUACUUUGAAAAAAUUAGAGUGUUUAAAGCAGACUAUCGUCUGAAUACAUUAGCAUGGAAUAAUGAAAUAGGACGGACUGAUUCUAUUUCGUUGGUUUCUAGGAUCACCGUAAUGAUUAAUAGGGAUAGUUGGGGGCAUUAGUAUUCAAUUGUCAGAGGUGAAAUUCUUGGAUUUAUUGAAGACUAACUACUGCGAAAGCAUUUGCCAAGGAUGUUUUCAUUAAUCAAGAACGAAAGUUAGGGGAUCGAAGACGAUCAGAUACCGUCGUAGUCUUAACCAUAAACUAUGCCGACUAGGGAUCGGACGAAGUUAAUUUUAUAAUGACGCGUUCGGCACCUUACGGG
rnacentral:rRNA from 1 species